GAUGAACGCUGGCGGCGUGCCUAAUACAUGCAAGUCGAGCGAACGGACGAGAAGCUUGCUUCUCUGAUGUUAGCGGCGGACGGGUGAGUAACACGUGGAUAACCUACCUAUAAGACUGGGAUAACUUCGGGAAACCGUAGCUAAUACCGGUUAAUACUUUGAACAGCAUGGUUCAAAAGUGAAAGAGGCUCUUGCCGUUACAAAUAGCUGGAUCCGCACUGCAUUAGCUAGUUGGUAAGGUAACGGCGUACCAAGGCAACGAUGCAUAGCCGACCUGAGAGGGUGGUCCACCACACUAGAACUGAGACACGGUCCAAACUCCUUAGGGAGGCAGCAGUAGGGAAUCGUCCGCAAUUGGCGAAAGCCUGACGGAACAAAGCCGCGUGAGUGAUAAAGGUCUUCGGAGCGUAAAACUCUGUUAUUAGGGAAGAACAUAUGUGUAAGUAACUGUGCACAUCUUGGCGGUACCUAAUCAGAAAGCCACGGCUAACUACGUG
rnacentral:rRNA from 1 species